GCCACACUGAUAGAAUAGAGAAUUUGAGAAAAAUCUGGGUCUUUCUAAAAACUGCUUUUCCUAGAGAAACAGGAGCUCAGCUGACAAUGACCUGAGGGGACCCCUACAGUGCUUCAAGCAGUGGAUGGAGGAGGAGAUGCCUUCCUGGUUAAGACAUUAUCCCUGAGCCCUUGUAGAGGACAGUCCAGCAUAGGAAAUUCUGGAACUACUAGAUGAAAAUGUGUGCCAGCAUGCUUCUACUUUCAGGGUACAGUCUGAGGCCCUAGGGAGGAGGAGUUCCUCAAGUGCUUUGACCUCUUGCCAGGACAAAGACGGAGAAGUAUUUAGAAGCAUCUGAAUUUGUUAGCUCUUCAGUUUUCCUCCUCCACUCCACCCUGCACACAGAGCCUCAGAAGGACAGACCAGCUUCACCCCCUUACCAGCA
rnacentral:sRNA from 1 species